rnacentral:rRNA from 1 species
UACAGAGGGUGCGAGCGUUAAUCGGAGUUACUGGGCGUAAAGGGCGCGUAGGCGGACAGUUAAGUUGGGGGUGAAAGCCCGGGGCUCAACCUCGGAAUUGCCUUCAAUACUGGCUGUCUUGAGUUCGGGAGAGGUGAGUGGAAUGCCGAGUGUAGAGGUGAAAUUCGUAGAUAUUCGGCGGAACACCAGUGGCGAAGGCGACUCACUGGCCCGAUACUGACGCUGAGGCGCGAAAGCGUGGGGAGCAAACAGGG